UUGUAGAUAACAUAGCUAAUUAGGAAGUAAAAUUCAAAACAUUUUGUGCUCAAAACUCGUGGAAGCCAUCGAAUCGUUGAGCUUGCCUUCUCUGAGUGAAACAAAUUAGGGUCUUGGAAAUGAGGCUGGCGCUUUCAUAAUGUAUCGUAAAGAUAUCUGACCUGAAUAUUUGAUUCCUGCAGGCAUAUAAGUUGAAUAAGAGAAAUAAAAUGGGAAUUUACUGUGACAGACUUAUCCUCAUUCUCAAAUGGAAUUGAUGGUACGUGACACAUGUUGCUAUUUUCGGUGGUGGACCUGCCGUCUAAUCUUCAUUUGAGUUUUAUACACCGAACACCAAUGAAACUAUUUUAGAUGAUCUAUUUAUUAGAACUUUUCAAGUGUUUGUACAAACCUUCUUGAAAAUCUCCGAGCUGUUCUAUUAAUAUAAGUUUGAAACCAAAUUUCUUUGAUGGCAUUCAUACGCGACCUAAUUUGUUGAGAUUGGGCUGCUGCAAAUGUUUGUUGAUUGAGGUUAAGAGCAAUUAUUGUUGUUGUUAUUAUUAUUAUCACUGCUUUAUUUUUCACGCUGUAGGACGAUUUAUGCUAAUAACUAUCUGAUCUGAGUGCGUUCUGUGUUGCCAUAGAGUUCGGUCAAUCGGUUCCGAGGUGACUUGUUAAAGACUGUUCAAAUGACGGAAGUAUCCAACAAAGGCAUGUAGAUCGUUAUUUGAAAACAAAUGGUCAUUUUUCUAACAGCAGUAAAGCUGAUUUUGAUUCUUACGAGUUGUGAGAUUGUUUGUUCAAAAGUCUGAAAUAAGUAUGCUGUUGUGUUUUACGUUGAUCAUAUAUGAUCUCAAUAGACUUAACCGUCAUGACCUUCCGAUUUACUUGCUUCUUCC